CAGCACAGCUGCCUCUCUCGCCUCUUCAAUGCUCACAGCACAGAAUGCCCCUGAGGCUACUGCUGACAGAGACAACAAGACAGAGCAGCAAGGAAGAGGGUGGGCCAGGAAACAGACCGUUGGAUGAAGCAAGUCUGACUUGCUUUUGCACUGUCACACUCAGAGAGAGCUGCAUGCUGUCUACAGGUGCUCUACGAUCACUGGACAAUCUGUGGGACUGAGAACAAAGAAGGCUAAUUUAAAGAAUACUUCAAGGGGAAGAAUUUGGGAUUGCUUUAAUGAGUAUUUUGGACAAAGACAUUUGUUUUUCCUCAAUGGGAUAUACUAGGAGUGGAUUCUAACAGAACUACUCCUUUUGACUGCUUUUGGAUGUUAUUUCUGAAGUCGAACCAGAGGAAAGGACUGUGUGAAUUGAAACUUUGGAGUGAGUAGCUUCUAAGCUUGGGGCAACAAUCUUGUGGAGUGGCUAGGUAAAGGACAGGAGGAAGGGGGAGGGGAAGAGGUAGUCGGGGUUUGGCUCCAGUCUCUGGGGUGAAAUGCCUUCAACAUGAGGCUUUGUUGAAGAAUGCCACAAAGGAGUGUUUGAUCGCUUCAGUUUUAAACUGCCAACAGAAAAAAAAAAACAUUAAAGAGAUCUACGUGCCCUUGAAGGAAAGUCCAUCUUGUGGUUGGAAGCAAUCUGUCUGCUUCACAUGCUUUGUUUUGCCCUGUUGAAUUGUGAAUUGAGGAAAAUCAUUUUAUUGUGUAGUCUUGCCAAACUACCACCCCAUAGUGCUCUUUUGUUUCUUAUUGAGAUGUACAACACCACUGUUCAGAUGGAGGCUUUGACCCAGAUAUGGGCUGGCAGUGCCAGCAACAAAAAUUCCUCUCUGCAGCUACACAACAACACCCACUGCCCAAAGAAUGACAACUUCAAAUAUCCACUCUACAGCAUAGUGUUUAGCAUUGUCUUCAUGGUGGGACUCAUCACCAAUGUUGCAGCCAUGUACAUUUUUACAUGUUCACUAAAACUGCGGAAUGAGACCACCACAUAUAUGAUGAAUCUUGUGGUUUCUGACUUAUUAUUUGUGCUCACACUCCCUUUGAGGGUGUUUUACUUCAUCCAGCAGAACUGGCCAUUCGGCAGCCUGCUCUGCCAGCUCUCUGUCUCACUCUUUUACACCAACAUGUAUGGGAGCAUCCUGUUUCUAACAUGCAUCAGCGUGGACCGCUUCCUCGCCAUCGUACACCCCUUCCGUUCAAGGGGUCUCCGGACCAAACGCAAUGCCAAAAUUGUAUGUGCUGCUGUUUGGGUUCUGGUGCUUUCUGGAAGUCUUCCGACAGGAUUCAUGCUGAACAGUACUAACAAGCAAAAUAACAACACGAUAGCCUGCUUUGAGAACUUCUCCUCAAAUCAGUGGAAGAGUCAUCUCUCAAAGGUGGUGAUCUUCAUAGAAACAGUGGGGUUCCUUAUCCCUUUGAUACUGAACGUGGUUUGCUCCGCUAUGGUGCUUCAAACUUUGAGGAGGCCACAGACUGUUAGUCGGGGAGGGAAGCUGAACAAAAAAAAGAUCUUGAGGAUGAUUAUCGUCCACCUCUCCAUCUUCUGCUUUUGUUUCAUCCCCUACAACGUCAACCUGGUCUUCUACUCACUGGUGCGGACAAAAAUCUUGGAGGGCUGCGCAGUAGAAUCAGUGGUUCGGACAAUCUAUCCGAUCGCUUUGUGUAUUGCUGUGUCCAACUGCUGUUUUGACCCCAUCGUCUACUAUUUCACCUCAGAGACAAUACAAAACUCCAUUAAGAGGAAAUCUCAGAUGAACCAUUCCUUUGAUGUCAAGUUCUCUGAGGCUUUGCAGUCAGAAACGAGCUCUUCUCUUCAGUUCAGCCUGAGGUCCAUAAAGAACAAGAUGUUCCACAAUGAGUCUAAUGUAUAAGGACAAGUAUUGGACAAAUGGAUGUAAAGAAACUGAAUGCACAAAAAGCACUCUGCAGUGAAUGAAAUGUGGCAUAAACAUGCAAAUAUGCCCUAAUUUGGUUUGUUAAUAUCUCUCAGGGCAGUAAGUAAACUACGUCCUUUUAGAGGGAUUUACCUCCCUCUUAAAGUCAUCCUUCAGCCCUGUACUGGGGGCACACUUGUUCUCAAUGGAAUUACAUUUGGAAUACUUAACUGUGCAGUAAGAAUAAUACAAAUAUACUGUAAAUCAACUGGAACUUGAUUAAACUAGACCAGAACCUCUAACUAUAUGUGAAUGUACUUACAUUUCCAGAAUGCAGCUUGUCAUUCUGGCACUGAGGAUGGAGUUGGUGUGCUUUUGAUAAAUACCGGAUUAGAUCUCCUAACUUCAAACAAGCGUUACACACCAAUUUUUUCCCCACCACUGCUCAGCCCUGCACAAAUACAACAUCCGAAACCCAGCACGCCACCGUAAGCUCCACUUCAAAGCUUCAGAAACCUCAACACAGGCUUGUUUACUUUUUCUGCACCUUUGCCUGGUUCGUUUCCUCAUGUUGUGAGAGGGAGGGGUGCAUGGUCAGAGAACUGAACACAGUUUUAACUAGAUUAAGACUACACAUAUUAUUUAGUCUGUUUAGUCAGUCUGUUAGAUUCUGUUCUAUAUGGAUUUUGUAAUAAUUGAUAAAAAUGUUUAUCUUCCAUUUAAAGGAAAAGUUCACUCCAAAAUUUAAUUUCUGUCAUUUAGUCAACCCAAUAUUAAACUUUGGAAUGUUUAUGCUGUUUUUCCCCAUACAGUGAGGAUGAGGGCAACCAAAAAGAGUAAUUAUAUGAAUGUAUAUCUGCAUAUGUAUGUAUAUAUAUGAAAUAGAAAUAUGAGGAUGUGGGAUGUGUUUGUGGAUUCAUUUUAUACAGCUUAAACAUUCUAAAGAUAUAUAUCUACAAUAAUCUCAUCAAGUUUGGUCAGAGAUUUUGGGGCAAUCUUUGACAAUAAGAUGACCCUCAAAGACCACACUGCAAGGACACCACGAUCAUGCAGGUUUGAAUUGCACAAGGUUAAGAUACUGAUGUUUGUAUAUAGAACAGCUGCAGUCUCCGCACCCAUCUACGUACCACUCAGCCUUAUGAGUACUUCCCCUUCAGAAGGCUUACACCAGUAAAUGAGUGAUGCCUCAUGGUACCAUUAGACAGGCACAAAAUCAAUCAACCAGAACAUUUUUGUUCGCUGUUUCUUGUUGGUGGAAUUAUCUACCCAACCCAAUCUGGGACAGAAAAUCCCUGACAAUAUUAAAUAAACAUCUAUUCUGUUAGAAAAAAAAAAAUCUUCCUCUAUGCUUUCACUAUACUUUAAUUCUAAACGAUGUCUGAAACUUUGUAUCACUAGCACUUCUCUUGUUUACUGCCUGACUAUGAUGAAUCGCUUGCCGUAUUCCUCAUUUACAAGUUGCUUUGAAUAAAAAAUCUGCAAAACGAAUAAACGUAAAUAUAAAUACAUAUUAUAUAUACUUUUGCAUUAUAUUCCUCAUAGUCUUCUGAAGUUGUACAAUAGCUUGUGUCAGGGAACAAAUUCAUAUCAAUAUUCAGUGAAUGUACGAGGCAUGUUGAUUCUCCAUUAU